GCUGUCUAAGGGCCCCCCAAGAGUCACCUAGUCAGAACAAAAGAGAUUCCUAUCACUCUUAUCACUUGGGAAAUUCCUGGCAUUUUAAGAGCUCUAUACCAGGAAGCCUUUGGCAAUAAAGGCCAAAUACCCUCCUUCUUAUACCACACAGAGAGACCAACAAAGGAAGCUGAGAGGAGAGACACAUAAAGGAGGAAGAAAACUAGGAGAGUGUGGUCCUGAAGCCAGGUGAAGAAACGUUUUCAAGAAAGAGGAAGCGACUGACUAUGUAAAAAAGUCUCUGGUGGCACAAGAAAGUUGAAGAAGAAUAAAUGAUCACUGGAUAAAACAGUGGACACAUGAUUGUUCUGGUGUCACGGGAAGGAACGGAAGGACACCCCGACAGCGCCGGGGAGCUAGAAGCAACCAAGCCUGGGUACCUGUGGUGGCCCUCGAGCGGGCUGCUUUCUCGCUGCCUCUGGAGGGGGUGGCUAAGUCCCUCCGAGAUCCUGGGUUCUAGCUCCCCAGCUCUUGCACUGAACGCCUUCAGACUUGACACACAGCAGUUUCUUUUUCCCCCCACGAGCCUGGAACCAGCCUGAACCAGCUGCGUCUGACUGAAAAACCCAGACUGGGUCCAGAGUCCGGCUGAGCCCGGGAUUGGACCGGGUCUGACCUAAAAACCGGACUGGUUCCUGCUUAAGCUGAACUGGGUCCAGUGUGAGGCAUCAGCUUCUAAGUAGCAGACCUGGAUUCCACCCAUGCCUGCUGACUCCAAGAACAGUAUUAUCUCCACAGCCAUUAGUUCUGCCAAAGGAAAGCACCACCUCCUUAGGCAAGGGGUUGCAAAUUCCUCCGGCUCAGGAGCAGGUCAAUCACCUUGUGAUGCUCUACCCGGAAUCUCCCUAAAGCUCAAGGGAUCUAGACAUUCUUAGCAUACAAAAUACAAGACCUCACCAAUGACUGAGAUGAUUUCAUUCUAUCGACCAUUAGAAUCACCAGUACCAGACCCCGGAAUUAGUACAUACUAUGAACAAGAAAUGGAACCAUGAGAAAAGCUUAGAACUGCCUUUGGAUCUCAUCCACAAGAGUAAAAGAUGACAAGCAGGUUAUUCUUAUGUGACUUGAGUCAGAGCUUUAAGGAGGGAGCAGCAAAAGAAGGGGAUCAACAGAAGUUGGCACCAGGGUUCAGAGUAAGAGAAACUUGAAGAGAUGGUGAACUUGGGCUAGGAGGAAGGGACAGAGUGGACCACAUGCUUUCAUAAUGUUUAGAGAACAAGAUAAUCCUUCCAUUCUUUUAUGAAACCUAUCUUUAAUUUUAGAUAAAUACCAUGAAAAAAAUCACCAUUAGAAAAAAAAUAAUUUUGAUUAAAAAAGCAUGAGCUUCCAAAUAAUUUAAGCAAUUUUUUUUUAAAUAUCUGAUUUUGAAGGAUAGGGAACUUGAGAUUCCAAUUUGCCACCAACAUUUUAAAUUAUAUACAUGAAAUGUCAGACCCACUCAACUGGUGAUUAUGCAGAAAGCUCAUUGAUACAUUAUAGUGAUCAAAACCACCUAUAGAACAGACAUUGAGUGUCCUAAAAAAAAAUAUUUGGACACAGUCAUAAAAACAAUAAAACAGAGUUUUGAUAUGGGACUUAUUUUCAUUUCAAUCCCCUACAUACCAAUGAACUGCUAGUUUAAUAUUUAUAAAUUGAUAAGAGGUAGAUGGAAAGCGAGUGAACAGAUGGAUAGGUCGAUAGAGAAAUAACCUCUGAAGGAGAAUAUCUUUUUUUAUUGUGGUAAAAAAAUAUAUAUAUAUGAGAUCUACCUU